UUGUUUCUUAGAUAAAAUAGCUUUCAUAAACUUGAUGUGCAACUUCUUAAAGACUUUAAUGAAUUUGGCGAACUGGUUCUUCAGGUUUUGACUUUGUAAUAGUUGAAGAAAAGGUACAGGAAAUACCACUGAACUUUGUUUUUCUUCUUCCGAGCUCACCUCUUGACUUUCAUCUUGUUUCUUCUCCUCGCCUUUAUUCUCAAAGCCUAUUCCCAUGUAGCUAGUCACCUUCUUUUGAUUCUCGGCAUUCGUCCCCUUUAACUCCUUUAACAUUACACUGUUCAUUUCCAUCGUUACUUGGAUUGGCUUCCAUGUUACUUGAUAUGCUC
rnacentral:lncRNA from 1 species